AUAGUGGAAAAAUUGGUGUCCCAAAUUAUCAACAAAGUCCCAUAUGCAGGUUAAGUGGAGCAGCACCCAAAGCUUGAAUAUGGAAGUAGCCCACGGUUAUUGAUACGGAGAGGCUCAGACAUGAAGCUAAGCAUUCCUCGCGCAUGUGGGUCCUGGUCUAAAUCUCCUCCUGUCUCCACCACUCUCCACAAGCCCAUCUCCUUCUAUUCUUCCAUACCAUCGUCCUCCCCUCUCAAACCCCAAGUCCCACUCUUCCUCAGGCCACCUAUCCACUCUGCAACCCUCUCAGACCUCCAAAAAUGGCACCACUGGGCCAAAACCCUCCCAGUUCCACACUCAGACGACCCCCCAGACCCCACCCUCCUCCGCAGAGAGCUGAAAUGGCUCCUAGAGGACGCUCUUGAAGUCCACUCAUCAGUUCCCCAAAUGGGUAGUCACAGUGAUGACAGACCCAUAAAAUUGAGGACCAGUUUGGAGCAGUUGUACUCUGUCUGGAGGCAGAGGAUUGAGGAGAGGAGGCCUUUUCAGUAUGUAGUUGGGUGUGAGCAUUGGAGGGAUUUAGUGUUGAGUGUUCAAGAUGGGGUUUUGAUUCCCAGGCCUGAAACGGAGGUUUUUGUGGAUUUGGUGGGGGAUGUGGUGACUCAGAAUGGAGAUUUGACGCAGGGUUUGUGGGCUGAUUUGGGGACUGGAAGUGGGGCUAUUGCCAUCGGAAUUGGGAGGAUUUUGGGACCUCGUGGGAGGGUCAUUGCCACGGAUUUGAGCCCUGUUGCCGUUUCUGUUGCUUCCUUUAAUGUGCAGAGGUACAGCUUGCAGGAUAUAAUUGAGAUACGGCAAGGAUCUUGGUUUGAACCUCUGAAGGAUGUUGAAGGAAAACUUUCAGGUCUUGUGAGCAAUCCACCAUAUAUUCCAAGUGAUCAUAUUUCUGGUCUACAACCUGAAGUUGGGUGGCAUGAACCAAGACUUGCAUUAGAUGGUGGUGUGGAUGGCAUAGAUGCUCUUCUCCAUCUCUGCAAUGGGGCUGCUUCAAUGUUGAAACCUGGUGGAUUUUUUAUUUUUGAGACAAAUGGGGAGAAACAAUGCAAGUUUCUUGUAGACUACAUGGAAAAUGAAUCCAAAGGCAACUUCUAUGAUGUUAAAAUAGUACCAGAUUUUGCUGGUAUCCAAAGAUUCGUGACUGGCUUCCAUCACUAAACGAUAUAAGCUGUGGAUCACUCCAUACACUUGAAAAUGGUAGUCAUGGGAGCAAGUUGAGGGGAAAAAAUAGGUAAUGAUGUCGACCAAGUUGGACAAGCCCGAUGAUUUUUUAUAAAAUGUUCAUUGUUCUUAGAUGCACUCAGCUAUAGCGAGCUUUUGGAAGGAUCACAAUUUUUUGAUGGUCAUAUAUCUCUUUGAAAUGGAAUGUUCGAUGUGGGCAUUUGUUCUUUAAAUUUUCACGAAUGUGAUUAUAGGUUUAGAAUCACAAUGACAUUACUAACAUAUUUAUAUGUUUAGGAUCAUAAUGACUAUAAUAAAUACCGGAAGUUAUACAA